rnacentral:lncRNA from 1 species
CUUUUCAUUCCCGUUGUUAUGGAGGGCCACAUCUGCCAGAGCCUGGAGUCUGCGAAGGCCGGGACCCGGUUCCCCGGCCCACAGUGGGGGUGUGCAAACCCGAGAGAACUGGGAAGUGCCGUCAGAAGCGAUAACUGACGACGUCUAAUGUCUAUCUGACCGCAGUCGCUGAAACCUCUACAACUUAGUUGACCGUAACUGCCAGAGCCCUGCCCUGAAUUCCUGUCCUUACUCCCUCUUUAAGAUUGCGUACCCACUGCAGAGUGCUGAAGACGGGGUAGCCACGAGGUUGCAAAUUCGUGAAGAAUCAGCAUCAUGUUUGGCAGCUGAGUAUUGGAGCCAGGAGCCUGCCAUGAGGUUUUGAGAACAGAGUGCUGUUUUAGAGCUGGCAGCAGCAUCUCAGCCCAAGAGAAGGUAAGCCUUGAGCUGGCCAAUGAUCCCUUCAACCCCAUAGUGGAAUGAAUAAACAGCUGAUCUUGUUAAAACUCGCUUCAAAAAAAAAAGAUAUCAAAUGAUGAAAUCACCCAAAAUAGCUGGAAUUACCGGCAGAUUGUGUAGUGGUGAACCUAUGGUUUUCUGAAGAUAUCUCUUACCCUGUGAUUGACUGUCAGUUGGUGCAGAAAGUGAGAUUGAAAUGUAGUUUCUUUGCAGGUUAUAUUCCCAGAGGAUGUCAGUCCCAAGGACCAGUAGCUGCCAUCAGUUUGGAUUCUGAAAACUAACUGGCAUCAACACUGGGUGUAGAAACAUGCUUGCCUUAUGUAUCAGAGGACAUGCUCAGCAGAUCCAAGAGAUAUAUUUGGCAACUUUUUCUAGAAAAGGCACAUUGGGUAUCAUUCAUUACAUUCUUGAGUUUUUUUGGGUUUUUUUUUUUUUUUUUGAGACAGUCUUGCUGUAUUGCCCAGGCUGGAGUGUGGUGGCACAAUCACAGCUCAUUGCAUCCUCAAUCACCCAGGCCUAAGCAAUCCUCCCACCUUGUAGCUGGGACUACAGCUCACAGCACACCUGGCUAAAAUUUUUUUUUUGUUGAGACGGAUUCUCUAUGUUGCCCAGGCUGGUCUCAGGCUCCUGGGCUCAGAUGGUCCUCCUGCCUCAGCUUCCAAAGGCACAGGCCAAGUUGUAGCUUUGUCCCUUGCCAUCAUGCCCAACAAGAGGUUCUAUACCUUUUAAUGAAUUGACUUUCAUAAAUUGGUUAUGUUGGUGGGCAAAGUUCUUUAAGCUGGAAAUUGUAAAUUCCUCCUGAAAUGUUUUUUCAUGCAGUUACCAUGAACUAAUACUACAAUAAAGGAUGGUCUUGGGUGUC